UGCUUUUUAGUUUAAUAUAUAAAACGUGGAUUUUGUAAAUCCAAAAUAAAAUAAGCAA
rnacentral:tRNA from 1 species